GGCACUGUGGCUCACAAGGGUAGGGCGCCGGCCCUACAUGCCGGAGGUGGCAGGUUCAAACCCAGCCCCGGCCA
rfam:Otolemur garnettii contig107821, whole genome shotgun sequence.